rnacentral:tRNA from 1 species
CGGAGUGUAGUAUAGCGGUAGUACGCGCGCUUUGGGAGCGUGUAGUCUGGGUUCGAUUCCCAGCACUCCGACCA